CUGCAGGUGUUCCAGCUUCCCAUGUGUCCCUGCUGCUCCCUCUAUCUGAUAAUCCACGUACUAGCAAGCAAGCUGCCAUGGUCAUAUAUACAUGUUUAAAAAAAAUAAAAAGCAGGUAAAACAAAGAGCUUGGAGAACACUGAUCCUGGGUCAUUGCCACUCAGCAGCAUCACCUGUAUUGAUCACAUGCUGAAGAUAUUUUCUUUCCUAAAGAUGCUUAGUCUGGGAAGUAAUGCAAUUGUAUUGGAGUCAACUGCUCAAGGAACAUAUUUGAAAACCAUAGAGUGUCCAGCAGUGCAGUGGGAUCAUACGUGCAUCCAUCCAGAGUGGGAAGAGGGGGACGUGUGCAUUUGAUAAUUAUGUAAGCAAUGGGCCCUUGCAAACGAUGGCCAGUUUGGAUCCUAUCACUGUUUUAGAAACCAGCUGUGUCAAAAGUGACAAGUUCUUCUUUUAGGUACAUAGAAUCUAUUUUUAUUUUUUUCAUUUUUAAGUUUCCAGUCUUGCUGUCAGGAGUAUUUCAGCAAUAUUCAAAUGAAGGUGAUGUAACAAGCCUUUCUCAUAGCCAUCAUGAAAAAUCCAUUCUUUGGCCAAAUGUUGCCUCGUAUAGCUCUUAUAUCUGGAGCAAGUGAUUUCUGCCUUGGGACCCUAUAUAUCCACAAACAUAUGACUAAAUACUCUCAGUACUGAGUUCGCCUGCCUUUCACAAUUGGUUCUUAAGAAUUUAAAACCACUGAAAUUGUUCUGGAAGGAUUUAUCUACCUGAAAGAGGGUAGUAAAGAUGUGGACCAGAAAUAGGCAAUGGUCUGACACUUCCAGACAUUUUAGAUCUUCUGAAGUCCAUUUAAACAUUUCUUACUUUCCCAAGGUUAACAGAAGUGUUAAAUAGUGUAGCUCCAAUGUAGCAAUGAAAAAUAGAUAUUUAUAAGAAGCAAGGACUCCCGUUUUCUGCUUUUUACGUUAAAGUUGAUAUGUUUUACUAAGAGUGAUGUGUUGAUAAUGAUAAUUCAGAGUUCUAGCCUUCAGACAAAGUCACAAUGUUAAUGAGCUGUUUGAUUAAGAAAUUCAGUAUCAAACUUGCAUAUAUUGUACAAAGAUGCAAUAUUGAUUUCCAUGCAAACUUGGAUUUUUUCCCUAUUUUUAUAUUUCUCCUGAUAAAAAUAUAGAGGCGCUUUCUGUCUGCAAGUCCUCUUUCUAUUAUAAGCUCAUUUUAAUAGUGCCUGUAUGCCACACAUGGCUAGUUAUCCCUAGUAGGAAGAUAAUCACUAUGAAAUAUUUUAGAACAAAAAAACUACUGCUUCAUGCCAAAUACAAUAAUAAUAACAUAAAAAUUCAUUUUCAGCCUUUAUUAUACAAGCCUGCUAAUACGACAGGACAGGAACAAUACAGUGUGAUUCUAGGCAGAGGCAAAAUGAUGGAUGAGAGAGUAGCCAGCAGAUUUCCAAGCAUGUUUUUAAACUGUCAUUCAGUAUUUUCAUGCUAAUAUAGCAGUUACCUCAUCAGAACAUAGCUGUUCUUCUUGGCUAUGUCAAAAAAUGUAGUCCAGAAAAGAUAAUAUCAGUUUCUGUUAAUGUGAAUGCUAUUCUAAAUAAUUUAUUAGUAUGCCACUAUUAUAAUGGAUUUUUCCAGAGUGCCUGAUAAGAAUUGAUACAGCAGAAAAGCACCUUAUUCAUUACAGAACAAUUUAAUAACUUUUGGGUGCCUUUCACAGUUUAUUGCAAGAAAUCUUCACUUCCUGUUAUUUGGCUUUGUUCAGCAAAAUACCCAACUUAAAAGUUAUUUUCAACUAUUUUCAGUAGUUGACAGCAUGCUAUAGCUUAAGCACAUGAGCAGAGCAGAAACACAUGCUGCUACAAAUGACCCAUCAUACCUAAUUUAAGUAACAGCCAUGUCUACUUAAAUGCACAACUGGAUUUUGUAAUUUUCCAUCAAUUUUCCAUCAUAAUAAUCAACAGGAAGAGGGGAAAAAAAAACUACUAACCUUUCUGGGAAAGCAAUUUGUCAAAAGAUUCACCCCAUUUCACUGCUUCUUCAGGAGACACACUGUUUAAGAAACAAAAGAUGGUUUUGAAGAAUUGUAUGUAUUGUGUAUAUACAAAGCUAUUUUGAUAUAUGUUAUAAAUUGCUGUUACUGCUCUA